AUUGAACGCUGGCGGCAGGCCUAACACAUGCAAGUCGAACGAGUGGCGGACGGGUGAGUAAUGUCUGGGAAAAUGCCCGAUGGAGGGGGAUAACUACUGGAAACGGUAGCUAAUACCGCAUACCAUCGGAUGUGCCCAGAUGGGAUUAGAUAGUAGGUGGGGUAACGGCUCACCUAGGCGACGAUCCCUAGCUGGUCAGAGAGGAUGACCAGCCACUCGGGACCUAAGACACGGUCCAGGCGCCUCCGGGAGGCAGCGUUGGGGAAUAUUGCACAAUGGGCUCAGCCCUAACGCAGCCAUGCCGCGAUAAUGAAGAAGUCCUUCGGAUUUUAAAGUUCUUUCGGUAGCGAGGCGUUAACUACAGAAGAAGCACCGGCUAACUCCGUGCCAGCAGCCGCGGUAAUUC
rnacentral:rRNA from 1 species